UACGGAGGGGGCUAGCGUUGUUCGGAAUCACUGGGCGUAAAGCGCGCGUAGGCGGCUUGAUAAGUUAGAAGUGAAAUCCCUGGGCUUAACCUAGGAAUUGCUUUUAAAACUGUUGAGCUAGAGAAUGGUAGAGGAGAGUGGAAUUCCUAGUGUAGAGGUGAAAUUCGUAGAUAUUAGGAGGAACACCAGAGGCGAAGGCGGCUCUCUGGGCCAUUUCUGACGCUAAGGCGCGAAAGCGUGGGGAGCAAACAGG
rnacentral:rRNA from 1 species